AUCGAACGCUGGCGGCAGGCUUAACACAUGCAAGUCGAGCGGGCAUCUUCGGAUGUCAGCGGCAGACGGGUGAGUAACACGUGGGAACGUACCCUUCGGUUCGGAGCAACUCUGGGAAACUGGAGCUAAUACCGGAUACGCCCUUAUGGGGAAAGGUUUACUGCCGAAGGAUCGGCCCGCGUCUGAUUAGCUAGUUGGUGGGGUAACGGCCUACCAAGGCGACGAUCAGUAGCUGGUCUGAGAGGAUGAUCAGCCACACUGGGACUGAGACACGGCCCAGACUCCUACGGGAGGCAGCAGUGGGGAAUAUUGGACAAUGGGCGCAAGCCUGAUCCAGCCAUGCCGCGUGAGUGAUGAAGGCCUUAGGGUUGUAAAGCUCUUUUGUCCGGGACGAUAAUGACGGUACCGGAAGAAUAAGCCCCGGCUAACUUCGUG
rnacentral:rRNA from 1 species